GACGAACGCUGGCGGCGUGCCUAACACAUGCAAGUCGAACGGGGGGUAGCAAUACCUCAGUGGCGAACGGGUGCGUAACACGUGAAGAAUUUGUCCAACGGCGGGGGGAUAGCCGGCCCAACGGCCGGGUAAUACCGCGUACGACCUUUGGGGGGGCAUCCCCUGGAGGUGAAAGCCGCAAGGCGCCGAUGGAGAACUUCGCGGCCUAUCAGCUAGUUGGUGAGGUCAUGGCUCACCAAGGCGACGACGGGAGCUGGUCCGAGAGGAUGACCAGCCA
rnacentral:rRNA from 1 species